rnacentral:rRNA from 1 species
GAUGAACGCUGGCGGCGUGCUUAACACAUGCAAGUCGAACGGAAAGGCCCAAGCUUGCUUGGCUACUCGAGUGGCGAACGGGUGAGUAACACGUGGGUGAUCUGCCCUGCACUUCGGGAUAAGCCUGGGAAACUGGGCCUAAUACCGGAUAGGACCCCUCCUUGGAUGUUGUGGUGGAAAGUUUUGUCGGUGUGGGAUUAGCUCGCGGCCUAUCGGCUUGUUGGGGUGGUAAUGGCUUACCACGGCGUCGACGGGUAGCCGGACUGAGAGUGUGUACGGCCGUACUGGGACCUAGGGACGGCCGAGACGGCGAAUGGAGGCAGAAGUGGGGAAGAUUGAACCAGGGGUGCCAGGCGGAUGAAGAGGCGCCGCGUGUGGGAGGACGGUCUUGGUGGGGUAAAAUCGCUGCGCGAGGGACGAAGCGUGUUGUGACGGUACCUGGAGAAGAAGCACCGGCUAACUACGUG